UCCUAGCAACCGCCCUCCGCUCCCCCUGCCAGAUCCGGAAACGGGCGGUCUGGUCCGCUGCUGCCUCCGGAACCCUGCAAGCCGCUAGGCCUCCGCCUCCGCCUCCGGCUCCCCUGCCCUCUGCUGAAACCACCCUGCUGAAGGUCGACCGAGCCCGCCUGCCCCGCGAGGACAGGUGGCCCUGGGCCUCCCACUCCCGCUCCCGCCCCGCGGCGCCGAUGCUCCGGCAGCCGCCUCUUCCCGGAUGGACCUGCUCGCUCCCCUGGUUUCCAUGACACUGCACUUUCCCACGCCGCCUCCGAGUUUCUGACAGCUCGUUUCCUCGCUGGCAUCGCCCCCCCCCCCACUCAGCCUCUCCCCGUGGGCCUGCCCGAGGCGCUGCCCUGGGCUCUCUCUCCCUCCUCCCGCUUGCGUGCCCACGGGCUCCCCCUCCGCCCCUGCCUCGUGCCACCCCCCCACUGCUGCCUCUCCAGCGGCUGCCCGUCCCUCCGUAGCCCCCAGUCCCACGUGGCUAGGGCUUACGGAACUCUUACCCUACCCCCACCCCAUGUCCUAAAUCACUGGACGUCAGACUGGUGCCCCCGGAGGUGUUCAGGCGUGGUCUGGCCCGCCAGCCACAUGACCUGGUUGGGAUGUCCUGGAGGUGACUUCACAUGCCCCCUGCGCCUGAGCCCCGCGGCAGGCCUGCGCCAGUGGCCCAGUUUGGAAGACAAAUGAUAUAUUCACCCUCCUUCGGGGGUCAAGGAGGAGAAAGCAUCCGGGAGGAGGAAACACAGGUGUAAAAUACCACGGAAAGAACAAGGAAGCAGUGUUUGCAAUGUGGUCCGCUGGAGUUGAGUUUGGCGAACUGCUGACUUUGAGAGAGGUUUCUGAGGAAAGAAGUGCAUCCAUCAAGGUCAGAGAAGGGGCCUAACCCCCUUGAAGAGAAGCGACAGGGAUGAACAGUGUGGGAGAUGGAAAAGCCACUGUGCUGAGAACCAAAGACGUGGGCUCAGGGUAAGUCUCCACACUCAUCUUGGGCCCUAGGGUCCUCGUCUACAAGAUGGUGGCUGAAGAAAGAGAUUUCAAAGAUUCCUUUCUGGUUACGAAAUGGGUUUAAGUGGCUGGGGUUCUUUUGAGAAAUGGUCCAAAAACUCAGAGUGACAUGUUUGCAGUUUCCAUCCUCAGCAGAGCUAUAAGCAUCAUAGCUUAGUGGCCAAGAAAGGCCAAGAAGCCAGAGCGCUUGGGUUCUGGUGCAGCUACUGCCCAGCCCCCCACCCCCCCGCCGCAACAGUGUGGCCUAUUGCUUAACCUCUUGAACCUCAUUUCCCCGCUGUCAAAUGAGGAUAACAGCAGGAAUUUCCUCGCAGGUUUUAUGAGGACCAAGGAAACGAAUACACAUACAGAGCUGUUGCUAUGACGUUUAUCAAGAAAAGUAACACUUUAUACACCUUUACAGCCCUAGGAGUGAAGCAUGAUGCUGUUGACAUUUUGUGAUUGAAAUUAGGCCCUCCCCACUGAUUUUAGAGUCUGGAAGACGGGCAUUCCUAUUAAAACCUUGGCCCUAGGUGCGUCUGGUGGGCUCAGAGACCCACACUUAAU